GGUCAUGCUAGAAGCUUGCUGAGGCAUUCCAAGUCAAAAUCCAUCGGCGCCAAUUUCAUUAGGUAAACUUUCAUUUAGAAUGUUGUAACAAGUUUUUCUUUGCACUCCUUUUUUUCUCAUGACAUAAUUUUACUGUUUAACAUGGUUGGUUAUGUACGACAGAUGAACCACUUUGCACUCCGUUGUUUUGUUGAAGAAUAAAAUCUUCAGUAUUUGGUAAAGACUACAUAAUCUCUGAACAUUUUACUCUUCAUAACGGGGAUAGCAACAACUAUUAAGUAAUAAUAAUUGAGUUCACAGUCGCUCAUUUGCCCAAGUGAAACUAUUCUUUUAUGUACAGGUAUGUUUUGAUAAAAUAUCUGCUCAGGUACUUUGGUCAAGGUAGUAAAGGGUAUCCGUGGAUCGAGCCAUCAAAUUGAUCUAUUGAUGAGCUAUUCAUAAGAUGAAGCUAGAAGGUUAUUGUGAUACAAAGACAAGAUGUAUGUCCACUACUAACUGCACCUUAAAGACUUAAAAGCUAUGCGGGGAAGUAUGAGAAUUCAUAGAUGCAUGACAGAUUUCAUUUUGGAUUCCGUUGAUAGUAGAUGCUUCACCAAAUUAUGUUCACAGUCUUCAAUAUUAUUAUAUUUUGAGGGGACAUACUAGAACGUAGUAGACAUUGGUGCCGCGUUGGAGACUCUGGUUGCACAAAGCUAGAAAAUUUAAGGUUAAUUGGAUCUUUGUUGCAACAAAUAACAAGUAAUGUUCAUGACACUGGAGCAAUGUGGUAGUUUGGAGUGAGUGCAACAAACAUCAUUUCAUACAUCGUGAAGUAGACAAAGCACAUGACUUAAUUACCCUGAGUCAAUUGUUCGUCAUUUUCAUCAACAACCAAAUCAUUACUUUCAUAUUCACUGAAUAUUUCAUCACUAUUUUGGUGUUCAUGUAAAAAAUUAUGUAAUACAAUACAAGCAACUACUAUAGAGGGUGAUUUUGUAAAAGAUAAAAGUUUGGUGUAAAAUUUUAAUU